UACAGAGGUCUCAAGCGUUGUUCGGAUUCAUUGGGCGUAAAGGGUGCGUAGGCGGCGCGGUAAGUCGGGUGUGAAAUCUUGGAGCUUAACUCCGAAACUGCAUUCGAUACUGCCGUGCUUGAGGACUGGAGAGGAGAAUGGAAUUCCCGGUGUAGCGGUGAAAUGCGCAGAUAUCGGGAGGAACACCGGUGGCGAAGGCGGUUCUCUGGGCCUUACCUGACACUGAGGAGCGAAAGCGUGGGGAGCGAACAGG
rnacentral:rRNA from 1 species